CCAUGUGACUCUCCUGCAACUGUCGUCUUCCCACGUCACAACUCCAGGAGGCGCUGUAGUCCAGGCAUCUGCAGCAGUAGGCCGUCCUGUUGCAUUGGCCAAGGGGUCUGCUGAUUCCCAAUCUGAUUGGCUUCUGCAUCUGUCAUCUGCAGCAUUGUCCCGCCCUCUCCUCUGGUAAUCCAACCAACGGGGCUGAGUCAGUCAUCCUGGUAACGUCUGUCAGAAUCUAUUCCAAAGGUUCUUAGAUUCCACCUCUUUUAGCUGAGAUGCAACACAACAUGGCUGGUAGAAAGGGGAUUGGAGGGGGAUUGAGGGGGAUGGAGGGGGUUGGAGGGGAUUGGAGGGGAUGGAGGGGGGUUCAGGUAGUAGUCCACUGUAGCAAAGUGAUAUGGUGAUGUCAUAUGGCAUCAGAAGACAAGGUGACCUGAAAUGGAGUCGGCCUGGAACGCUAGGUGACUUGUAUAAUGACGCUGUUGAUAUAAGUGGCCAAUAAGCUGUUUAUCUUUCUGCCUCGGAUUCAGGGGAGUUUUUUUUAAUCAGAGACAAUAUAUGUUUCUAUUGAUUCUGAUAUCAAUACAUUUCUACCUGCAGUAUUAGGUCUCUGUCUGUCUCUCAUUUCUCUGCCUGUCUAGACUACACCAUAUAUAACCAUUCAUCCCAGUACGUGAAAAUAGCUGCCCAAAUCAUUUUCCUUAUGAUUUAAAUUAUAUUUCUACAUAACUCAAAGUCAGUGCUGUGCAGCAGCAUGAAUCGGGUACAAUGAAAACACCUGUCAAAUCAGGUCGUCAGUCAAUCCUUCCGUCCUCUAGUUCUAUUUAACAUCAGACAAUAACAUCUCUCCCCCCCCCCCCCCUCAGAAGAGAACAGUCUGGAAGGUUGCUAUAGAAACUAACCAGCUUCCACAACCUCGUCUGCAGUUCCCUAAACUUCUCCACUAAGCGUCGCUGUGGGUCCGGAUGUACUCUGCACCUGACCGUCUGUCUGAACACACUACCAGGUGCUCUUCUCAUUUCCGCCCCACCGGUUAAGUUGUUAAACGCAUUCAUUCAUGCAUCUGUAAUAUCUCCAGAAGAACAAUCCUCCGAGAGACUCGAUAUUAUUGAAUGGUUGUUUAUUUUUCUAGCGCGUUAUUCGCUAAUAGAUCUAACUAAUUAUGUCGUUUUGGUGAGAUUGUAUAAUAAAAAAAUAAAAAACGAAAUGUUGUAAACAAUGUCAAUAGCAUCCAUUUGAUUCAUUCGAUUCUGAUUCAAUGCUGUUCGUUAUUGAUCCGUACCUAUAUAUAUAUAUAUAGCACAGCCCAAUUACAUUACCGCACAGCCCAA
rnacentral:lncRNA from 1 species